rnacentral:rRNA from 1 species
GACGAACCGAGCGAACGUUGUUCGGAAUCACUGGGCUUAAAGGGCGCGUAGGCGGCUUGUCAAGUCAGGGGUGAAAUCUUUCGGCUCAACCGGAAAAGUGCCCUUGAUACUGACAGGCUCGAGGGAGGUAGGGGCAUGUGGAACUUCUGGUGGAGCGGUGAAAUGCGUUGAUAUCAGAAGGAACGCCGGUGGCGAAAGCGACGUGCUGGACCUUUUCUGACGCUGAGGCGCGAAAGCUAGGGGAGCAAACGGG